UCCCGCGUUGUCUAGCGGUUAGAAUUCCUGGCUUUUGCCCAGGCGGCCAGGGUUUGACUCCCGGCGCUGGAG
rfam:Schistosoma curassoni strain Dakar, Senegal genome assembly, scaffold: SCTD_scaffold0011209